AUAUAUAUAUAUAUAUGUCAUCGCUGCUUCAUCCAAACUGCCUUCUUUUCUUCUUCCCCAACCUUUCUUCCACAUUUCAAAAUGAAGAAAUCGGGCUUCAUCGCCGCCUCUGUCGUCGCCGCCGCCGCCGCCGCCGCCGAGUCUGCCUCUCCCAGUUCCUCCACCAUUUUCUUCAACCUAAAGGUUCAGCUCCCUCGGCAGGAGGGAAAGGAAGGAGAGAAUCCGUCGUCCUCGGCGGAUAAAUUUGCUCCCAAUUUUGAUGGAUUGAAAUUUAUUAAGACUCUGGUAACGGCUCACAGAUAAACUGCCCCGGCGACGGCGUCGGCGAUGGCCGGACUGAACUUCGUAUACUGCCUUAUUUUGUUUGUUAUUUUUGUCGUCUAAACUCUCACAUUUUGCACAUUCAAGAUAGCAAAUUGAAUAAUAAUUUUAGUUUAAAGUAUA